AGAGUUUGAUCAUGGCUCAGAUUGAACGCUGGCGGCAGGCUUAACACAUGCAAGUCGAGCGGAGCCUUCGGGCUUAGCGGCGAACGGGUGAGGAAUGCCUGGGAAUCUGCCUGUUAGUGGGGGAUAACGUUCCGAAAGGAACGCUAAUACCGCAUACGCCCUACGGGGGAAAGCGGGGGAUCUUCGGACCUCGCGCUAUGAGAUGAGCCUGCGUUAGAUUAGCUAGUUGGUAGGGUAAAGGCCUACCAAGGCGACGAUCUAUAGCUGGUCUGAGAGGACGAUCAGCCACACUGGGACUGAGACACGGCCCAGACUCCUACGGGAGGCAGCAGUGGGGAAUAUUGGACAAUGGGCGCAAGCCUGAUCCAGCAAUACCGCGUGUGUGAAGAAGGCCUUAGGGUUGUAAAGCACUUUCAAUUGGGAGGAAAACCUGCCGGUCAAUACCCGGUAGCUUGACAUUACCUUUAGAAGAAGCACCGGCUAACUCCGUG
rnacentral:rRNA from 1 species